rnacentral:other from 1 species
UGUGCUCUUGUGAUCACUUGAAAAGUGAACCCUACCGACAGAGAUUAGGGGGCUGUCCCUGGGAAUGGUGUGCAAGCUCACCUCGUAGUGAGAAGCCUGAAGUUCCUAAAUGGCCUACCGCACUAGUUAUUACGGGUUCAUAGUCAUAGCUGAUCACAGGAGUUUUU